CUGCCGGCUUUCCAGCCCCGUUCCUCCCCGCUUUACCUUGGCCACGUAGUCUUUCACUUCGUCCAGGUCGCCGUUUUUGAGGGCCCACAUGAACUCCUUGUCGGACAUAGCGGCGGCCGCCCUGACCGGGACUCGGCGCGAGAGGCCGCGGCACCGCUCGGAAGAAAGGGCGGGGCUGCAGCGGAAAGGGCGGCGGCGACAGUUAGGCUGCUCUCUCUCGUGGGGGGCGAGGGCGACGGUUACGCCUCCAAUAACAGGCGCUCUGGGCACGAGGAGGCCGGAAAAAGGGAAAUGCAACUAACAUGAAGGUGGCGGGGCGGGUGUAAUUAAACCGCUUCGUAUCGCCACACACCGCUUCCGCUUCCGCUCACCAUUCGCUUUUUUCGCCCACACCCCAUGGUGAGGCAAACCGCGCGAGCGCGCAUGCGCCGGGAAGUCUCUCCUCGCUCGCUUCCUGCUUGAACGGGGGCUUCGACGCGAGGAAGCUAACGGCUUCCGUAGCCUGCGCGGGGCGGAGCGUCCGAGUCGCUCCGGGAAACCAGAGCUUGGGAAGAAGCUAUCGCGCAUGUGCUUUUAGGCUCGGUAGGCUAAAGUAGCUAAAGCAAUCCUUCCAGAAGGAUACCAUGGCUGUUGGUACUGAAAGAUGCUGAGAGAUCCGGGAAGAUCAACAAAGUUGUACUCCACUCCAUUCCACUCCAUGUCUCUCUCCUCACAGAGAUCAUCAACAGGAUAUGGAGCAUUAGCUAAGAAGUGGCUUGACUGCGGAUGGGACAGAAAAAGAUGAAACAGGAAAGUGAAACAAAUUCCAGCACUAGUGUUGCUGCUCUGAUGGCAUGCAUUUUCAAAAAUUAAGCAUAAGCGCAAGUAAGACAUUGAAAUUGAACAGAGCUUUAUCAAUGUUGGUUUUAUGUGGAUUGGCAAGAAAGAUGAACCAAAUGAACUGUGUGUUGAAUGUGAGCAAGUACUGGGUAACGGUAGUCUGAACCCUGCAAAAUUACAAAGACAUCUGGAAACCAAACAUCCCAAUUUGAAAGAUCAAAGUCCUGAAUAUUUUUUAAAAAAUGUGCAGAACUCCAUGAGCAUUUCAUACAUUCUUUGUGU